rnacentral:rRNA from 1 species
AGUGAACGCUGGCGGCAGGCCUAACACAUGCAAGUCGAACGGCAGCACAAGAGAGCUUGCUCUCUGGGUGGCGAGUGGCGGACGGGUGAGGCAUGCAUCGGAAUCUGCCCAUUUGUGGGGGAUAACCUCGGGAAACCGGGACUAAUACCGCAUACGACCUACGGGUGAAAGCAGGGGAUCUUCGGACCUUGCGCAGAUGGAUGAGCCGAUGCCGGAUUAGCUAGUUGGAGGGGUAAAGGCCCACCAAGGCGACGAUCCGUAGCUGGUCUGAGAGGAUGAUCGGCCACACUGGGACUGAGACACGGCCCAGACUCCUACGGGAGGCAGCAGUGGGGAAUAUUGGACAAUGGGCGCAAGCCUGAUCCAGCCAUGCCGCGUGUGUGAAGAAGGCCUUCGGGUUGUAAAGCACUUUUGUUGGGAAAGAAAAGCAGCCGGUUAAUACCCGGUUGUCAUGACGGUACCCAAAGAAUAAGCACCGGCUAACUUCGUG